UCCAAGCUUGAGUUUGAUCCUGGCUCAGGAUGAACGCUAGCGGCAGGCUUAAUACAUGCAAGUCGAACGGGAAUUGGGUAGCAAUACCUGAUGAUAGUGGCGCACGGGUGCGUAACGCGUAUGCAACCUACCUUUAACAGGGGGAUAGCCCGGAGAAAUUCGGAUUAAUACCCCAUAGUAUUAUGGAGAGGCAUCUUUUCAUGAUUAAAGUUCCGGCGGUUAAAGAUGGGCAUGCGUGCCAUUAGCUAGUUGGUGAGGUAACGGCUCACCAAGGCGACGAUGGUUAGGGGUCCUGAGAGGGUUAUCCCCCACACUGGUACUGAGACACGGACCAGACUCCUACGGGAGGCAGCAGUAAGGAAUAUUGGUCAAUGGGCGGAAGCCUGAACCAGCCAUGCCGCGUGCAGGAAGACGGCCUUAUGGGUUGUAAACUGCUUUUGUCAGGGAAUAAACCCUCGUUUGCGAACGAGGCUGAAGGUACCUGAAGAAUAAGCAUCGGCUAACUCCGCGCCAGCAGCCGCGGUAAUACGGAGGAUGCGAGCGUUAUCCGGAUUCAUUGGGUUUAAAGGGUGCGCAGGCGGGCGUAUAAGUCAGGGGUGAAAUGCCACGGCUCAACCGUGGAACUGCCUUUGAUACUGUAUGUCUUGAGUUUAGUUGAAGUGGGCGGAAUGUAGCAUGUAGCGGUGAAAUGCAUAGAGAUGCUACAGAACACCGAUAGCGAAGGCAGCUCACUAAGUUAAGACUACGCUCUCACAAAGC
rnacentral:rRNA from 1 species